rnacentral:misc_RNA from 1 species
GAAAUGCGAUAAGUAAUGUGAAUUGCAGAAUUCAGUGAAUCAUCGAAUCUUUGAACGCACCUUGCGCUCCUUGGUAUUCCGAGGAGCAUGCCUGUUUGAGUGUCAUUAAAUUCUCAACCCCUCCAGCUUUUGCGAGUUGUGAUGGGGCUUGGAUAUGGGGGCUUGCGGGUCUUUACUGAUGUAAAGGUCAGCUCUCCUGAAAUACAUUAGCGGAACCGUUUGCAGUCCCGUCACUAGUGUGAUAAUUAUCUACACUGUGAUGGAUUGCUCUCUGACUAGUUCAGCUGCUAAUCGUCCGUUAUGGACAAUGUUUAAUGAACUUCUUGACCUCAAAUCAGGUAGGACUACCCGCUGAACUUAA